rnacentral:lncRNA from 1 species
UUUUUUUUUGCACAUCUCUAUUUAGUAUUAAUUCAUUUUGCUUUUGUAUAAAAACUAUGUUUACAAAUGUUUCUACUUUUCUUUAGGGAGAAGGAUUAUGUAUUAUUCACCUUUGUAUUCACCCUGCAGUUAGCAUAGUUCUUUGCAUAUACGAUAAAAGCUUGUUGACAAAUAUUUUUCUCAGUAAGAAGAUGAGCACAUAAAUGACAUACACAUCUUCUAAAACAAUGCUGAACAAAUAUAAAAAUGUGGGGAAAUAUACUGUUGAAAACAUUCCAUUUUAAGAGUAGGUUUUGUCAGCCAUAUGAAUUGGAAAUCAUGAAGAUGGUUCAUUGAUCAACAAAUAUGUACUAUAACUAUGGAAUAACAGUGAACAAAACAGAUGUAGUCCUUGCCCUCACAGAACACACAACUUAGUGGAGACUGACAACACACACACAAACAAUUAAGAAAACAAAGAGCAGGUGGUAAUUAGGUAUUAGGAUAGGGGUGGCAGACAGAUUACUACUCAGAUAGGGUGGACAGCUUGACAAGUGAAACUGAGGCUGACACUUGAAGGGUAAGAGUCAAAUUUGCAGGGAAAAGGGGAACAGCCAGAAUUAAGGCCCUAAAGCAGGGGUGGUGGUCAUAUGUUACAAUUCCAACUUCAGGGGAAUGUAGUUACUACAGCACAUUCUCCAUCCUUCUAUUUACCAAGUCUCUUGCAGUUCUUUCACUCACCAAUUCUCCUUUUCUGAUGGUUCAGAUUUUCCUGGCUAAAUUUAAAAAUGGCAUGAAUUCUGGCAUGAAUGUCAGACUGUUUCCAAAUAAUCCUAAUUUCUCUCCAGUCCUUAUGACUGAUAAAUUCAUCUCCAAGUGAUGACUGUGUCCCAAUUAGGAAAGAAGAGUGUUUCUCUAGAUCAGCUUUAAUUUUUUGAUUUGGAGUCCUCCUGAUUGCUAAUCAACAUGUUGUGUAAUUACUUCAAUAAUUACUUAUAAAAUGUUCUUUUGUCUUCAGAAAAACACCCUGCUGCUUUCUGUACUCUAGGUUGCUCUGGAGCUUAGGCAGAGGAGAUGUACCUAAAGCAUCUCUAACCACUGGGCAUUUUCAGAUCUACUGCUAUAGCUACACGUGAAAUGAUAAGAGCAUGUGAUAUACUGGGAAAAGCCCUCUGUUAGAAAUUAGAGGAUGCAGGUUCGAGUUCCAGGUCUGCCACUUUGCUAUGCAAAUCCGGGUCAUUUGUUUACUUCUAGGUUUAGUUUUUUUUAUUGGUAAAGUGGGAAUACUAUAAAAGUUGUAUCUUACAUAAAGUCAAAUGUAUGUGCUUGGUAAAGUAGUUUAAAAGAAAAAUAUAAAUUUAAAUAGUACUCAAUGAGUAUACACCCAGGAAUAAACAUGAGCUGGAAAGCAGAAAUAUGUUGUUACAUCAAUUAGUCUUCAUUCUUAUAAGCCUCUCAUUGAAAAUCUUGCUCUGCUGCAUGAUUUUAGUGUUUAAACAUUUACAUAAACAUUUACAUAUACUUACAUAUAUUCUUAUUUGAUUGUUUAGGACAAGGUCCCUACAUAUAAUCUACUUGCUUCAUCUAAGGCUCAAAUAAACAGCCAUUCAGAUGAUGUGAUUUAUUGAUAUGUUUACUCUAGCUAUGCCACUAUACUAUAAUGGCAGAGACAGCAACAUAAGUCAAAGUUGAUGGAACCCUGGUAAUUACUGUUGAGACCCUGAGCCAUCAAUUUUUUGUUAUUGGUAA